GGCCAAAACGGACAAUAUCUACUAGCGGUGGAUUUGGGCGGUUACAUAUAGUCUCAUUCCUCUUGAAUGGAUCUUUUCAACAUUACUUACUUGUAAGGCUUCUUGGCCAUGCUGCAAGAGGUGAGCAUGCCGCAGUUAUAAGGUAGCUGCUGGCUUCAGGGGCAUCUCCCACCAAGGAAAAUACAUACGGGACGGCCCCAACUGAACUAGCCGAUUCAGGGACGGAGGCCAGAACGAGUUUGGAAGCUGCCUCAGCUCACAUGGCGGUGGGUCAUACAUGUUUAUUCUACAACAGAGCUGCAAAAUAUAAUUGAAAAUUUGAAAAAUUGAUAUUCAUUGAUUAAUGUAGAAGAUUAAAUUAUGUGAUUGAUUGACUUCAAGCUCAACAUUGAUUCACUUAAUACCCAUUGUUGGUUGAUUUAUGAAGCUUGUUGAUCAACCUUUAAUUUCUUCGUUCGACCAAAAACAUGAAAUGAUUCUCCUAAAAGAAAAUAAUGUGCUUCCAUAAUCACCACUAGAUAAUUGCUGGUUGGUAGUGAAACUGAAAAAGAGGACAGUAUAUGGCUAACCAUCAGGCAUCCACUUCUUUAUGAAGCAAAAUUGUGGAUGGGGGAGGAGUUUCCUGUCAUUGCCCUUCCAACAAAAAGGGUCCAAGCACUUGCAGUUUCAAUUUGGUGGAUUUGUUGCUUGUCUAUUUUGCUCUUAAUUACAGUCAUUUAGGCAAACAAACAACUCGAUGACAAGGAGGAGCAGUAGGAGACAUGUACAGGAACUGUCGAUAUGGAGAAUCGUGCUAUAUCGACGUUUCGUACUGGAGUUUUUAGAGGCAGCAACUUGCAGUUGGUGCAGGCUGUAAUUCUUGCUGCUUCAGAAUGUUUCUUUUUACAACAGUGGAUCCUUCUUCAAUCAGACUAGGAGCCUCCAUUAUCUGCAACACAAGAGACGAUGUUUUUAAGAACGAACGACCGGACGAGGCGUUUGGUUUCUCGAGGUCUACUACUUGACAUUG